UACGUAGGGUGCGAGCGUUAAUCGGAAUUACUGGGCGUAAAGCGUGCGUAGGCGGUCCGCGAAGUCUGAUGUGAAAGCCCCGGGCUCAACCUGGGAACUUCAUUGGAAACUAACGGGCUUGAGUGUGGCAGAGGGGGGUGGAAUUCCACGUGUAGCAGUGAAAUGCGUAGAGAUGUGGAGGAACACCGAUGGCGAAGGCAGCCCCCUGGGCUAACACUGACGCUCAGGCACGAAAGCGUGGGGAGCAAACAGG
rnacentral:rRNA from 1 species